UGGGGCAGACAGGAUUCGACCUGCCUCGCCUUAGGGGGAUAGGGCUCACGGACCCUGAGGACGGCACCUGAGCAGCGGCUUCGGGUACAACAAAAACAGGAGAAAGAAAAGUAUUUUGGAAUUGGCCUGGAAUACAGGAGACCUUUGUUCAGAAUGGCACAGACUUCCUGGAAUGCUGGAAGAACUGGAAGAACUCUUUAUAAAUCUGCUACCACUGCUGAAAAUCAGCAACUGAAAAUCUGUAUGAAGUAUAUGUUUGGUUUUCAUACUAUCUGUGUAAAAGAAACCAUGUUGAAUGACUCUAGCAUGUCUUAAAUGUUCAGUAACAAUGGAAGCAGCCAAGUGGGAUCCCCCUUGAAAUAAAUCACAGUCCCUUCUCAAAUAUAAAAAUAUACUUGGAGAGAAUUGUCAUGCAUUCCUUCCAAAGCAGGACUUCUAAGGGUAAAACAUAUUCAGUCCAAGUGUCAUUCCAACUGCUUUUUUAGACUGUUUUGUUGCAGUAUCCAAGGAAAAGCAAAGAUAGAUACGGUACUAUUUUGCCACCUAAUAUCCUGUAGUUUAUUCAAUCCAAGCAUAAACAUUUGCUCUGGACUGAUGUCCUGGCAACAUUUGCUGACUGGCCCAAAUAAGACACACUUGCUAAUGGUUCAGACUCAGGUUAUUUUGCCCAUUCAUUCCACUUCAAGGUGGCUCUUUUACACCAGGGAGGCUCUUUUACUCGCUACCACCUGCUGUCUCUUACAAGCCAAUAAAUCAAUGCAGUCCCACCACCCCUUCUUUGGGUUUCUUUUUUCUUUCUUUUAACUUGUUGCCCAAAAUAGAUAGCUAAGCAGUUCCCUUUCACAGGCCAGACUCAUGCACAAAAAAGGCUUGCAAGACAUGGAAUUCAGUUCAUCAGAAACUGGCACUUCUAACACAACAAACCAAGUCUUGUUCACAUAGAUGGGAGGCAGUACUGUGUGGAAUCUUAAGCACCUACUCUCAGGAAAGCUGAGGGUGCUUAGCUCUUUGCCUUUCAAAAAAUCCUUAAGUGAUUCCAUUAGCUUCAGUCAAGUUGCUGUAUUUAUAUCACUAACAAACUGGAGUCAAUAAGGCUCCAGUCCAAAGCCCACUUAAGUAAUUGUUAAUGUUACCAUUGAAUUUAAUUGGAUUUGGUCUAAUGCCUAAGAGAGGAAUCCACAAAAAUAUGCUUAUUUUAAAUGUAUUUUCCAGCUGUCCAUUUUAUCCUUUGUUCAUAUGUCAAAAGUUUAGCCCUUGAACUCUCUGUGUUUUUAGAAAUGAUCUAUUAUAACAUAAUCAGUUGUUUAUGGGUGGUUUUAUAUUCAUUUUUAUUCUGUCUUAGUGGGCCAAAUUGUGUUCAUGACUUCUUUUGAGUUUUUGACCUGAUGGGACUGAAUGAGUGACCACACUUUAGUUCACUCAUGGUCAUUUUUAAACUGUGCUCAGUAGGGAGGUAAGAAUGUGUUAUCUUAAACCUUGUAGGUUGGAGCUUACAGUUUUCCUUAACUCCCACACUCAGUCCCAGCUUCUGUGAAGUAGUUUAACUGUCGGGAUUGGAAACACCAGCAGCUAAAACAUAGAGUCCCUAUUAAAAUCUGCUUUAUUUAAUUAAAAAAAUAAAAUUCCUAGAUUUUUUUGUCAUAAUUCAGAUGCUAAUAAAUUAGUUUGUGACUAGAAUGUUUGUCUAGAGUACUCUAAGAUGCUAGUGGAUAUUUUUUAGACUGAAUCCUAGGAAUAAAGAUGAUAAGAUAAAUGCCAGCUAUACAUGAUACCUCAGCAUGUACAUGAAACCGGAUCUGAGUUCUAGCCUAAUCUUUUUAUUUCUUUCAGUUCCCUUUAGAAGUUAAUAUGGAGGAGAAAUUUUCUGGUUUCUGCCUUACUUAUGGCCUGUUGGAGAACUAUUAAAUCUUUGCUGUAUCCCAUCCAAUUCUGAGGUGAUACUUUGCAUGAUUUUUCCUGUGAAACUGCUGUAUAGUUUGCAAGAUCUAUGUUCUAUAGAAGCACUGUAAUUCUGCUGCAGCAGCAACAGCCAUUAACAAUCCUGUUGUUGCAAAACUGUGUCAGUGCUGAGCUGGUGAUUAUAUCUUAGGGCAUCCUUCUGCCAUUUUUAAAUUCCAGAAAUUCUCCUAACAGGCCUAUGCAAGAUCAAGACUCUUAAAAGUAAGCACCCCAUAUAGUCUAUAAAAAAGAUCAAAGCUCUCUUCUCUUCACCCUAUCUUUUCCACAAGAAACAGGUGCAGGGAAAUUUUUUCAAAGCAUUCAUGGAUUCCGGCAUGAAAAUGAAGUAUGACACCUUUUCAAAUAUGUCAGUAAUUCACAAGUUGUCUAAAGGCUUGGGGUUGUUAGAACUGGUUUAAGAAGCAUAAAGAUGAAAUAGAAUUAUCAAGUUUUCUUGUAGAGCUGUUUCUCUUCUGAGAAUAAAGUAUCUAAAUGUGU